rnacentral:rRNA from 1 species
AGAGUUUGAUUCUGGCUCAGAACGAACGCUGGCGGCGUGGAUAAGACAUGCAAGUCGAACGGAGAUCUUGAAUAGCUUGCUAAUUGAGAUCUUAGUGGCGGACGGGUUAGUAACACGUGAGAACCUACCCUUUAGACAGGAAUAGCCCAUGGAAACGUGGAUUAAUGCCUGAUAGUCUCUACGGAGUAAAUGGUGCCUUCUGGUAUCGCUAGAGGAUGGGCUCGCGGCCUAUCAGCUUGUUGGUGAGGUAAAGGCUCACCAAGGCGACGACGGGUAGCUGGUCUGAGAGGACGAUCAGCAACACUGGAACUGAGACACGGUCCAGACACCUACGGGUGGCAGCAGUCGAGAAUCAUUCACAAUGGAGGCAACUCUGAUGGUGCAACGCCGCGUGGAGGAUGACGGUCCUAGGAUUGUAAACUCCUGUCAUUGGGGAGUAAGACUUAAGCGUUAAGAGCGUUUAAGUUUGAUAGUACCCAAAGAGGAAGGGACGGCUAACUUCGUGCCAGCAGCCGCGGUAAUACGAAGGUCCCAAGCGUUGUUCGGAAUCACUGGGCGUAAAGCGUGUGUAGGCUGCGCGGAAAGUCAAAUGUGAAAGCCCGGGGCUCAACCUCGGAACUGCAUUCGAUACUCCCGUGCUAGAGUAAUGGAGAGGUAAGUGGAAUUCCUGGUGUAGCAGUGAAAUGCGUGGAUAUCAGGAGGAACAUCAAUGGCGAAGGCAACUUACUGGACAUUUACUGACGCUCAGACACGAAGGCUAGGGUAGCGAAAGGGAUUAGAUACCCCUGUAGUCCUAGCAGUAAACGGUGCUCGCUUGGUGUGGGAGGAUUCGACCCCUUCUGUGCCGGAGUUAACGCGUUAAGCGAGCCGCCUGGGAAGUACGGUCGCAAGAUUAAAACUCAAAGGAAUUGACGGGGACCCGCACAAGCGGUGGAGUAUGUGGCUUAAUUCGAUGCAACGCGAAGAACCUUACCUAGGCUUGAC